AUCUCUACGGCUCGUCAUUCCGUUCCGGCGAGCAACUCUUCCAUCAACACAUCGACAGGCCGUUCCGCUCGGUUGUUGGCCUCAUUGGGUUUUUAUUAAUGUUACCCAACAGCUGCAGUUUUUCGUCCAUGGCGGAAAUGAUGGUGUCCGUUCUUAAACUACGUCUUUACUAAAUGCAAACAAACCACCCUUCCAAUACCUUCCCGUCUGAUCACGCCAAAUUCAAUCAUCGAGUUGCUCGCCAAAGGAGGCCAUGAUUUCCGCGAUUGACGAUAAACUGCAGCUGUUGGGUAACAUUUGUAUCAUUAACGGCCAACAACCGAGCGGAAUGGAUCGCUACAUCAUUCAGGAAUUCGGACGUUCUCUUAUGGGAUCCUAGUGCUUCAUACUUCGCCAUCGACCACCUGAACUCGCACGCAGAACAUUCUAACAUCCCCUGCCCCACGCCUACACACACACACUCUUCUCCAAACACUAAUCAAGUGUUGUUGUUUGUUUCCAGUUUUUUCUUUUUCUUUUUUCAAUGAAGAAAAUAUAAAAAGAGAAAAAGUU